GAUGAACGCUGGCUACAGGCUUAACACAUGCAAGUCGAGGGGAAACGGCAUUGAGUGCUUGCACUGAAUGGACGUCGACCGGCGCACGGGUGAGUAACGCGUAUCCAACCUUCCCGUUACUGCGGGAUAACCUGCCGAAAGGCAGACUAAUACCGCAUGUUCUUCGAUGACGGCAUCAGAUUCGAAGCAAAGAUCCGUCGGUAACGGAGGGGGAUGCGUCUGAUUAGCUGGUUGGCGGGGCGACGGCCCACCAAGGCGACGAUCAGUAGGGGUUCUGAGAGGAAGGUCCCCCACAUUGGAACUGAGACACGGUCCAAACUCCUACGGGAGGCAGCAGUGAGGAAUAUUGGUCAAUGGGCGGAAGCCUGAACCAGCCAAGUAGCGUGCAGGAUGACGGCCCUACGGGUUGUAAACUGCUUUUAUGCGGGGAUAAAGUGAGGGACGCGUCCCUUUUUGCAGGUACCGCAUGAAUAAGGACCGGCUAAUUCCGUGCCAGCAGCCGCGGUAAUACGGAAGGUCCGGGCGUUAUCCGGAUUUAUUGGGUUUAAAGGGAGCGUAGGCCGGGGAUUAAGUGUGUUGUGAAAUGUAGGCGCCCAACGUCUGACUUGCAGCGCAUACUGGUUCCCUUGAGUACGCGCAACGCCGGCGGAAUUCGUCGUGUAGCGGUGAAAUGCUUAGAUAUGACGAAGAACCCCGAUUGCGAAGGCAGCCGGCGGGAGCGCAACUGACGCUGAAGCUCGAAGGUGCGGGUAUCGAACAGG
rnacentral:rRNA from 1 species